rnacentral:rRNA from 1 species
GGGAUCGCCGGCGUAGCGGCCGAGGGAAAAGUGGGGGUGCGACGGUGAAUGGGAAGAACGGGGCGUAAAGAGCGAGUAGGGGGUGUGGGAGGUCAGAUGUGAAAGCCCCGGGCUCAACCUGGGAACUGAACCUGAUACGGCCAGACUAGAGUACGGUAGAGGGUAGUGGAAUUUCCUGUGUAGCGGUGAAAUGCGUAGAUAUAGGAAGGAACACCAGUGGCGAAGGCGGCUACCUGGACCAACACUGACACUGAGGUGCGAAAGCGUGGGGAGCAAACAGGAUUAGAUACCCCUGUAGUC